UAGAUGUUAAAAGCAAGAGACAUGGGAGAGCAUCAUUCCUUUGAGAUUUUAUAACUCAAACCAACUUUGGAGUUGUCUGAUUUGGAGAGUCAUUAUUCUUGGUCUUCGCUCUUAGAGGCCACUGAUGAAGAACAGGCGGUGACUGGAUGAAUCCUGGUCAGAGAGGAGAAUCUUCUUUCCCCUAAACAGCAGUGGUUUUAAAGGAGGACGCUGCCCUGGAUGAUGUAGAUGUCACAUGCUGUGCUGAUGGGGUUUCUUCAUGAUUACAUCAGUUAUGCUAAAGAGAUCAUGAAAAUUGACUGUGAUGCAUGAUCUGUAUUCAUGGACUAUGAAACAAACUGUAAGUGUAUAAUUUGUUUAAAAAAAAAAGUUAAAUGCUUUUUCUGUGUUGUUUAGUAGAAGAGUUUACACUCUGUCAUUCAUACACCUGCUCACAUUCUUUCACACACACACACACACACAUGCGUCUGUUAAAUGUUAUAAUAUCAAAGUUAAUGUUGUGAUUUAUUUGUGUACUGUCAUGCCAGAAUAGUUGGAAAAAAACCUAACUAAUUGUAAAUUUAUUGUAUGUGUUUUCGUAUAUUUUUAUACAAUUGAACAAAGUCCAAUUUGAUUUUAAGUUAUAUUCAUCAAAUGUUCAAUGCUUUAUGAACUCUGUAGCUGUUAAUGCCAUCCUUUUCUGCAUUUCUUCUAACAUGUUACUUUUUGACUUUUCUCUUGUUUUUAAUAAAUAUUUUCCUUUUGGUAA